rnacentral:lncRNA from 1 species
GGGUAACCAUUUUUAAUUUCCAUUAUAAGAAAACAUCUAAAUUCAAUAAUAUCUGUUCAAUAGAAAAUUAUCAAUACAUAUUAAUAUAUCAACAUAAUUCUUUUGAAUACAAAAUCAAUUUUGCAUUUACAUCAAUAUACAAUAAUCUCAAAUCAAUUCAAUUUAGUCCUUACCGUAAACAAUAGAUCAGUUUCAUACUAGUACAAUUCGAUCAAUUAUAAUAGACUAUCAAUUCAUUUUUAUAUCAGAUUUCAAUUCAUCAUUUUAAG